GGGAGACUCACCGAGGCGCAGGGGCUGGAGGUGGCGCUGGGGUGAAACAGAAAUAGCUGGGCAGUGUGGACCAGUCCCUAAGAAUCACGUAGUGUUGAUCUGCUUU